GUCUUGGUGGUGAAAUGGUAGACAUGGAGACUCAAAAUCUCGUGUUAAAGAACAUGGAGGUUCGAGUCUUUUUCAAAACA
rfam:Glycine max cultivar Williams 82 chromosome 19, whole genome shotgun sequence.